rnacentral:rRNA from 1 species
CAGUCGCCGCGGUAAUACGUAGGGUCCGAGCGUUGUCCGGAAUUAUUGGGCGUAAAGGGCUCGUAGGCGGUUUGUCGCGUCGGGAGUGAAAACCAGCAGCUUAACUGCUGGCCUGCUUUCGAUACGGGCAGACUUGAGGCAUUCAGGGGAGAACGGAAUUCCUGGUGUAGCGGUGAAAUGCGCAGAUAUCAGGAGGAACACCGGUGGCGAAGGCGGUUCUCUGGGAAUGUUCUGACGCUGAGGAGCGAAAGUGUGGGGAGCGAACAGGAUUAGAUACCCCGGUAGUCCCUGUCUCUUAUAC